GAUGAACGCUGGCGGCGUGCCUAAUACAUGCAAGUCGAGCGAACGGACGAGAAGCUUGCUUCUCUGAUGUUAGCGGCGGACGGGUGAGUAACACGUGGAUAACCUACCUAUAAGACUGGGAUAACUUCGGGAAACCGGAGCUAAUACCGGAUAAUAUUUUGAACCGCAAGGUUCAAAAGUGAAAGACGGUCUUGCUGUCACUUAUAGAUGGAUCCGCGCUGCAUUAGCUAGUUGGUAAGGUAACGGCUUACCAAGGCAACGAUGCAUAGCCGACCUGAGAGGGUGAUCGGCCACACUGGAACGGAGACACGGUCCAGACUCCUACGGGAGGCAGCAGUAGGGAAUCUUCCGCAAUGGGCGAAAGCCUGACGGAGCAACGCCGCGUGAGUGAUGAAGGUCUUCGGAUCGUAAAACUCUGUUAUUAGGGAAGAACAUAUGUGUAAGUAACUGUGCACAUCUUGACGGUACCUAAUCAGAAAGCCACGGCUAACUACGUG
rnacentral:rRNA from 1 species